rnacentral:rRNA from 1 species
UGGGGAAUUUUGGACAAUGGGCGCAAGCCUGAUCCAGCCAUGCCGCGUGUCUGAAGAAGGCCUUCGGGUUGUAAAGGACUUUUGUCAGGGAAGAAAAGGCUGUUGCUAAUAUCGACAGCUGAUGACGGUACCUGAAGAAUAAGCACCGGCUAACUACGUGCCAGCAGCCGCGGUAAUACGUAGGGUGCGAGCGUUAAUCGGAAUUACUGGGCGUAAAGCGAGCGCAGACGGUUACUUAAGCAGGAUGUGAAAUCCCCGGGCUCAACCUGGGAACUGCGUUCUGAACUGGGUGACUAGAGUGUGUCAGAGGGAGGUAGAAUUCCACGUGUAGCAGUGAAAUGCGUAGAGAUGUGGAGGAAUACCGAUGGCGAAGGCAGCCUCCUGGGAUAACACUGACGUUCAUGCUCGAAAGCGUGGGUAGCAAACAGGAUUAGAUACCCUGGUAGUCCACGCCCUAAACGAUGUCAAUUAGCUGUUGGGCAACUUGAUUGCUUAGUAGCGUAGCUAACGCGUGAAAUUGACCGCCUGGGGAGUACGGUCGCAAAGAUUAA